GUUACCUGAAGGGAUGGAGCCAGGAUCCACCCCUUCCUAGACCUCAUUUAAGGGUUUGACAGGGGAGGCAAGGGUAUCUUGCUGGGGAUUCCUGUCUUCUGAAGAUGGCAUUGAGCAUUUAUGAAAGAAUGUUGCUCAUCAUUACUUGCUGAAUGUGUGACAGAGCUGGAGGGAGGAAGAACAACUGAGAUCUGAUUCUUACCCCUAGGCCUGUUCCUCUUGGAAAACAGCUUGGGAGUGCUUUAGCACAACAGCUGCUUCUGAAUCUACUGUUAGAAAGUGGGGACCAAUAAGAAGGUGACCUCUGUCUGCAGCUGUAAAGAGAAGCCCUGCUGAAAUCUCCUGCAGGUGUUUUCCAAAGCAUACUGUUUUCUCUCUCUGACUUGUCCAUUCUUCCCCUCUGAGUUUUGUAGUUGUACAAAGGUGUGUGUGUAUGUGUAAAAUGUAUCAUGGGGAGCGGGAGGAAAAAUACUUAAAAUGAAAAAGAAAUUUGUAAUUUCUGUGUUCACUUUAGAUAACUCGGGAAGAAAAACUCCUGAUGUGAUCUAGCUGUCCUGAAUAGCUUUUCAUACAUAAUACUGAAUCAUGAUGGAUGCUGAUGGGUUGAUCAGAAUGUACUGCUUCACAAAGUGCAGAGUAAAAGGUCCAUAGUGUGUGUUAAACUGCAAAAGCUAAUUGUUUCUACUGUGUUUGCUGCCAGGACGCACGACUUUUGUUUCUUGCUUUAAAUGGAAAAACAAACAAGUGGACAGGUUCUCUAUUGUACAUGCUUGGCAUUUAGGAAGCAGUGUAGCUUUAGGAUUGUACUGAUGCCUGUGACUGCAUCCUGGGGAGGAAGAUGGAGUGUGUUUAGCUCACUGUAUAGCAGGAACAUGAAACCUUGUCCGAGUGAAAAAUGUUGAUGGUUUUAUCGAUAGGGCUCAGUAAGCUGUAAAGUGUAUGUUGUCAUCUGUUAUGUGCUAGAAAUUCUUGCGUUGCCUUAAUUAGUUGAAAACUGCAGUACGCUUGCUUCUAUCUCAUUUCCUCGAGGUUUUUCCAGGUAAUUUUAGUUUUUCAGUUCUUUCCCUUUGAUGUACGUGGCAAUUGAGAGAAUUUUAAAAUGAUUCAGUAUUUUCAUUUUUUGAAUAGGUUCAAUAUCGAUUUUUAUAUUAAAGUACUGAACCAAAAUUAGUGAGGGAAUAUCAUACAAAGAUAGUCUUUUAAAGCAAAUUUAUCAUAUGUGCACAGUUUGCAUUGAGGGAACGUGGUCAAACAACAAAAAGCCACCAGCAAAAUCCCAGGCAAUGAAAUCAAUUUCACUGUCAGUCUUUCAGUCUUUGCAACAUGACACUGCAAAUCAAUGGGUUCAAAGAGGGAUUAAACGAAUUAAUUAAGGAUAUAUUUCCUAACCAGUGUCCUGAGCUCUGGAAAUAGAUUUGGUUUCUGUUUUUGUCUGUGAAUGGUUCUGCAACCAGACAAACUGCAAGGUGCAUCUUGGACAUUGCCCUGUUAAAAGUGUAGCACCUGACACACCUGACCUUUGUUUGCCAGAAUACUGACUUGGUACAAGCAUUUUUCAAGCUAUACUCAAAAGCUCAACUUGGUUUUAAGAAAACAUAGUACCUUAUCCUGCCUAACUUACACCAGCAUAGGUACUGAAGGUAAAAAAGACCUCAUAUUUUGUGCUUCUUCUCCCCCCC
ensembl:lncRNA